AUGGAUGGCCGACUUUGCCAGGUUUCUUGUCGCGAGCGCCCGGUUCCCCUGCCAUGUCCUCCUCCACCUCGCCGGACUCUCCUUCCUCCCGAGCGCCUACCUCUCCUGCAAGGCCGCCCCUCGACUUACCGCCACCGACCAGCGCAACAAACGCAAGAGAUUCCCAGGGUCUCGGUCCCCUGCUCGUGCCUGAGCCACUCAGUCCUCCUCGAUCUCCUCGGCUCCCUCCACCGGAGCCGGCCUACUCCGGCUACCUCCUCUGCCUCGCACCUGCACGUCAUCCUUGGGAUCCGCAAGCAGCAGCUCUGA
rnacentral:rRNA from 1 species